CCGAGAUCAUAAAUAAAUUCAGUUGAUUUUUUGAGAUCAUCAAUCAUAACCUAUAUGCUGGUUAUUUUUCAGACUCACAAUCAAUCCAGUUGGCUUUAUGGGCUCACCAAUCAAAAUCUAACAAGUCCAAUUUCAGACUUGGAUGGGUCUUAACUUCAAAUUUUUUUCUCCCAAAGAAACUUGAAAAGAAAACAAAAAUAUAAGAUGCAGAAUUUCAACAUAAAUAAAAAAAAAUAAACUUUUUUAAGCCCAAAAAAGUUGCUGAUGAAUUGCACAAAAGAUGCUUCAAGUUCUCUUGAAUGAUGCUU
rnacentral:lncRNA from 1 species